rnacentral:rRNA from 1 species
AUGCUACCCGUGUUCGCCAAGGGAUUCCUGCACUGGUUGGUCAAUCCUUCUCUUAUCAUGAGAAGGCCAAGAGCUGCUAUCAUAUCGUUCUCUGUCGCGGAGGAGACCUUCGGAUGCGUCCGUUCGCCGCCGUUCUGGGGACCAAGCGAGCAUCUGCGCUCCUCGUCCCAGUCGGAAGGAGAGCACCUGGUUGUGAUGGACGACCAGCUGUGCAUUGUCCGGGAUCUUCGCGACGGAAUCCCUCAUGGAAGCACCUUGGAGAUUUGGGGACUGCUGGAUUAUGGCUCCGGUGAUUGGUCGCUGCAUCAUCGAAUUGAUUUGUUUGGGCAGAUAAAAAGUGAAUUGGCCGAGCCACAGAUUGUGAGGGUUAUUGGUAGUGUUGGUAACCGCAAGUCGGGGAAGAAGAUUGUGAUUGCUACUAGCAAUCACUUGGUUCACGACAAAUUUCAGAAAAAGGUUUACUCAUACGAUCCUAGCCGUCGAGUUCUAGAGAGCAUUCUUUCGGUCACCGAGGCACACGCCUUUUUUACGGGAUUCGUCCCUGGUUCAAGAUUCAGCUUGCUUGAAGAGAGCCUUGCUCCAGUGCAUAAAACUCAUGAAGAAGGCCUGGCCUUCAAAAGUGUGCUAAAGAAACUACGGCUCCAUGCUAAAAGGAUAAAAGACGAAAGGUCUCUGUUGUCGAAAUCUUCUGUAAUUGAAGGACUUUAA